rnacentral:rRNA from 1 species
UACGGGGGGGGCAAGCGUUGUUCGGAAUUACUGGGCGUAAAGGGCUCGUAGGCGGCCAACUAAGUCGGAUGUGAAAUCCCCAGGCUCAACCUGGGAACUGCAUCCGAUACUGGAUGGCUUGAAUCCGGGAGAGGGAUGCAGAAUUCCAGGUGUAGCGGUGAAAUGCGUAGAUAUCUGGAGGAAUACCGGUGGCGAAGGCGGCAUCCUGGACCGGCAUUGACGCUGAGGAGCGAAAGCUGGGGGAGCAAACGGG